rnacentral:rRNA from 1 species
AUAAGCUGUGUCGGUUUAAUAAAUUGAAAUUCACUUUUAAGUGARAAGGCUUAAAUAAUUUAAAGGGACGAUAAGACCCUAUAAAACUUUAUAGUAUUUUAUAUGUAUUGAUUUUGAUAGUUUAAUAUGAACUAUAGUAAGAUUGUUUUGUUGGGGCGACACCUAUAUAAAUAUAAAGUAACUGUAGGUUAAAAUAUAAUAAUGAUGGUUAGUGAAAUGAUCCUUUAGUAGUGAUUAUUAGAAAAAGUUACUUUAGGGAUAACAGCGUAAUUUCUUCGGAGAGUUCUUAUUGAUGAAGUUAGUUGCGACCUCGAUGUUGAAUUAAGAUUUCUUUUAAAUGUAGCAGUUUAAAAAGUUGGUCUGUUCGACCAUUAAAAUCUUACAUGAU